rnacentral:misc_RNA from 1 species
AACGCACAUUGCGCCCCUUGGUAUUCCGCGGGGCAUGCCUGUUCGAGCGUCAUUAUCACCCCUCAAGCCCAGCUUGGUGUUGAGGCCUGCCGGCGACCGGCAGCCUCUAAAAUCAGUGGCGGUGCCUUCAGGCUCUAAGCGUAGUAAUACUCCUCGCUAUAGGGUCCUGACGGCGUCCUGCCAAAACCCCCCACUUUUUCAUGAUUGACCUCGGAUCAGGUAGGGAUACCCGCUGAACUUAA